rnacentral:misc_RNA from 1 species
UUGAAUAAACUUGGUUGAGCUGUUGCUGGCUUUUCGAAGCAUGUGCACGCUUAAUCCAUUUUUAUAACCACCUGUGCACCUUAUGUAGAUCUGAGAAACUCGAGGAAACUCGGUUUGAGAAUUGCGACGCGAAAGCAAGCUAUUCUUUAUCCUUGGAUCUAUGUUUUCAAUAUACCCCACAGAAAGUAUUUGAAUGUAGUAAUGGGCCUUCGUGCCUUUAAAACCUAAUA